CACGCCGUAAACGAUGGUCACUAGCUGUUCGGACUUCGGUCUGAGUGGCUAAGCGAAAGUGAUAAGUGACCCACCUGGGGAGUACGUUCGCAAGAAUGAAACUCAAAGGAAUUGACGGGGGCCCGCACAAGCGGUGGAGCAUGUGGUUUAAUUCGAUGAUACGCGAGGAACCUUACCAGGGCUUAAAUGUAAGUUGCAUGAUUUAGAGAUAGAUCUUUCUUCGGACUACUUACAAG
rnacentral:rRNA from 1 species